rnacentral:tmRNA from 1 species
GGGGGUGCUUUGGUUUCGACAGGAUUCCAGAUGUGCUAGUUGCAUGCCGAGGUGGGCUGGCCUCGUAAAAAGCCUAAAAAACAUAAGUGCCAACGAAGAGUACGCACUCGCUGCUUGAUAGCAGCGCCGGAACUUGACCCUCUCCUGCUGGGAAGAGAACUCCGGACGCAAUGCGGGAUAGAGUUUUGCGCCUGCCUUAACGCAAAAUUUGAACCUCCAAGGCUAGCUCUUGCUAUGCGCCAACCUUUACGGGCGUUUUCAAAAGCGAACCUUUAAAUACAAAGGAAACGCAUGUAUGAGCGAACGCAGAAGGAAUCUUGGACAGGGGUUCGAACCCCCUCACCUCCAUAA